AUUUUUUCAUGGAAUAAUAAUCAAGCCCAAGCUCGAGCUCCUAUACCACAAAAUCCACUCGAUUUCUAGAAUCAGAUUCUACAACGGACAAAGAGGAAAACAAACUUAGAGGAAGCAUUAGCAAAAUUUAUUGUAGCUACCGACAAGAGGAUGAAUGAGCAAGAUAAACUAUUAAGUCAGGUAGAUAUGAAUGUAAAAAUUCAAGCACUCUUGAUUAAGAAUUUGGAGAAUCAGAUGAGUUAGAUAGCACAUGCUUUGAACAGCCGUCAGCAAGGAGCACUACCCAGUGUCACCGAGAUUAAUCC
rnacentral:lncRNA from 1 species